UACGUAGGGGGCAAGCGUUGUCCGGAUUUAUUGGGCGUAAAGAGCGUGUAGGCGGCUUCACAGGUCCGCUGUGAAAACUCGAGGCUCAACCUCGAGACGCCGAUGGAAACCAUCAGACUAGAGUCCGGAAGAGGAGAGUGGAAUUCCUGGUGUAGCGGUGAAAUGCGCAGAUAUCAGGAAGAACACCCGUGGCUAAGGCGGUUCUCUAGUACGGUACUGACGCUGAGACGCGAAAGCGUGGGGAGCGAACAGG
rnacentral:rRNA from 1 species